rnacentral:rRNA from 1 species
UAGCAUGGGAUAAUGGAAUAGGACCCUGUCCUCCUAUUUUCAGUUGGUUUUGGCAGCGCGAGGACUAGGGUAAUGAUUAAUAGGGAUAGUUGGGGGCAUUAAUAUUUAAUUGUCAGAGGUGAAAUUCUUGGAUUUAUGAAAGAUUAACUUCUGCGAAAGCAUCUGCCAAGGAUGUUUUCAUUAAUCAAGAACGAAAGUUAGGGGAUCGAAGACGAUCAGAUACCGUCGUAGUCUUAACCAUAAACGAUGCCGACCAGCGAUUAGGAGACGUUGAAUACAAAACACCACCAUCGGUGCGGUCAUCCUUGGCGUUGGUCUUGCAAAAGGCCAGCGCGGGGGUGGCUUAUCCCGGUGGCACCGGUGAAUGACUCCC